rnacentral:rRNA from 1 species
UACGUAGGGGGCAAGCGUUGUCCGGAAUCAUUGGGCGUAAAGCGCGUGUAGGCGGCCCGGUAAGUCUGCUGUGAAAGUCCAGGGCUCAACCCUGGGAUGCCGGUGGAUACUGUCGGGCUCGAGUACGGAAGAGGAGUGUGGAAUUCCUGGUGUAGCGGUGAAAUGCGCAGAUAUCAGGAGGAACACCGGUGGCGAAGGCGGCGUGCUGGACUGCAACUGACACUGAGGAACGAAAGCCAGGGGAGCAAACGGG